rnacentral:lncRNA from 1 species
CGGCGCUGGCGCAGGCGCAGCGUCUCUCUCAUCAUCAGCAGCAGCGUCAGGAGGCGAGCUCGGGCUCGGCCAGUCCAGCGUUGUAGUUUUUCGCAGUUUCUGUCGUUUAUAUUAGUGGAGUUUGUAGCUAAAACAAGUGGAGAAAGCGGAAAACAGAGCUUUAACCCCACUAACAGGAAAAUACCGCCCUCUACAGAGCAGCUUCACCCCAGUACUGAGGUGGUAAAAUGUUGCUGGGCAAACAUUUUUCUCUGCAAGUUUUCUCUGCAAGUCACUGACACCACUGCACAUCGUGGUCCGACCAUCUUUUCUAAUGUUGUUCCAGACACAUGGCCUGUCCUCCAUGAGGGUUCUGGCAGUGCUGGGAAAAACAUCCGACAAAAAAAAAACAACAACAUUGUCACACAGAACAGGUUCAGGUGUUGAUGAGCGGUGUAUGCACUCCGUAUUGACAAGACCCCCAUGCUUUUCCCUUGUGGGCUGCUCCAAAGAGAAACCCGCUCAGAGAUCUGUCAAUCAAUCUUCUUUCAGGGAUUUGAUGCAGCUGUGGACACCAGGGUCCCAUUCCUCUGGAUUAGGAGCUGCAGAACUGAGAGUUCUGUUCCAGAUAAUGUUAAAUACAGCAGAUUUCAUCAUUUAGUGCAGAGUGAACACAGACUCGACUGCACUCUGUCAGUGCUAUUAAACAAUAACACAUUUGCUCCUGUAGUGUUUUUUUAGUUGGUCUCAUAAGCCCCCCCUUUCAAGGUUUUCCCUCCUUUUGAAACGUUUAAUUAAAUUACUUUCCUUUAUCGCCACAAACACCGAAUGAGGACAGGGGGGAAACACUUUGUUUGACCCGCAUGGGAAACACAAAAGAUGUUAUUAGAAAUCAGCACCCAGAGUAAAUAAGGAACAAAGAACAUAUGUUUUAUAUUUGCACAUCUUGUCUCGCUUCAGCUGCGUUCAAUUAAAAAGCAUCUGACUUGGAAAUACAGAGCAGACACACACCAACAGAGCAGAAUACAUUGUCUACCUGCUGCUCGCUCACUGCUGAUUACAACUACAGCUCUAACACCCACACACACACACAUGCUCGCACACACUCUUCAUACAUCUUCACAAAGGUUUAGGUUUAUUUAAAAAUAUAUCCCUUUAAAACUGUACACAGUCAUGAAUAAUAAUAAUAAUGAGGAAUCAUGAGAGUGGAGGGCUGGACGAUAUAUUGAUUUCAUCGAGAAUCACAGUACUCAGUCUGCAAAUAAAAAAUGUCAGCAAAUUAAUAAUGUAGUAAAU